rnacentral:rRNA from 1 species
UACGUAGGGCGCAAGCGUUGUCCAGAAUUAUUGGGCGUAAAGAGCUCGUAGGCGGUUUGUCGCGUCUGCUGUGAAAUCCCGAGGCUCAACCUCGGGCUUGCAGUGGGUACGGGCAGACUAGAGUGCGGUAGGGGAGACUGGAAUUCCUGGUGUAGCGGUGGAAUGCGCAGAUAUCAGGAGGAACACCGAUGGCGAAGGCAGGUCUCUGGGCCGCAACUGACGCUGAGGAGCGAAAGCAUGGGGAGCGAACAGG